rnacentral:rRNA from 1 species
UACGGAGGGAGCUAGCGUUAUUCGGAAUUACUGGGCGUAAAGCGCACGUAGGCGGCUUUGUAAGUUAGAGGUGAAAGCCUGGAGCUCAACUCCAGAACUGCCUUUAAGACUGCAUCGCUUGAAUCCAGGAGAGGUGAGUGGAAUUCCGAGUGUAGAGGUGAAAUUCGUAGAUAUUCGGAAGAACACCAGUGGCGAAGGCGGCUCACUGGACUGGUAUUGACGCUGAUGCGCGAAAGCUGGGGGAGCGAACGGG